UACGUAGGUGGCGAGCGUUGUUCGGAUUUACUGGGCGUAAAGAGCGCGCAGGCGGUCGUGCAAGUCGCGUGUGAAAGCCCCCGGCUCAACUGGGGAGGGUCACGCGAUACUGUUCGACUCGAAGGCAGGAGAGGGAAGUGGAAUUCCCGGUGUAGUGGUGAAAUGCGUAGAUAUCGGGAGGAACACCAGUGGCGAAGGCGACUUCCUGGCCUGUUCUUGACGCUGAGGCGCGAAAGCUAGGGUAGCAAACGGG
rnacentral:rRNA from 1 species